rnacentral:rRNA from 1 species
AAUUUUCGGCUAUGGGGGCAACCCUGACCGCGCGACGCCGCGUGAGUGAAGAAGGUCCUCGGAUGGUAAAGCCCUGUUGUAAGGGAAGAACCGUACCAGUAGGGAAUGACUGGUACCUGACGGUACCUUACCAGCAAGCAACGGCUACCUACGUGCCAGCCGCCGCGGUAAUACGUAGGCGGCAAGCGUUAUCCGGGAUUAUUGGGCGUAAAGGGAGCGCAGGCGGCUUAUUAAGGCUGAGGUUAAAGUUCGGGGCUCAACCCCGUGAUGCCUUAGAAACUGGUAGGCUAGAGUGCAGGAGAGGUGAGUGGAAUUCCGUGUGUAGCGGUAAAAUGCGUAGAUAUAUGGAGAAACACCAGUGGCGAAGGCGGCUCACUGGCCUGUAACUGACGCUGAGGCUCGAAAGCGUGGGGAGCAAAUA